GCACAGAGGUGUCCUGGCCGAAAGAGAAAAACUGAGCGAGAGUUGGUGAAGGAAAGUGGUUACGGAGGAAAGUGAGAGGAAACUUCGUGUUGUUGUUCCCAGUGCUCACGCGCAGAAAUGGAAUCCCAUCAUUAGUGGACGAGCAAUCAUCCCUGGAAUUGGCAUCUCCAACACCACCGCGCCGCGCAUGCUAGCUACCUAGCUAGUAACCCCCCACAUACAGAGCGAGUGUUUUCGAGUUAGGAUGGCGGAAGUGAUGGCCAGCGCCGCCGCAGGCGUGAUGGGCUCCGUCAUCGGCAAGCUGGGCACCAUGCUCACCGAGAAGUACAAGCUCGCCAAAGACGUGGAGCGUGGGAUCCGCUUCCUGCAAGAGGAGCUGAGCACCAUGGAUGCCGUUCUGCAGAUGCUCGCCGACAAGGACGACGACCAGAUCGAUCCGCUCGCCAAGGACUGGAGGAGCAAGGUACGUGAGCUGUCCUACGACAUCGAGGACUGCAUCGACCGUUUCAUGCUCAACCACAGCCAUGGAGGUUCCAAGGCCAACUUUGUGCGCAAGGCCAUGCGAAAGGUGAAGACGCUGUUCGAGGACGGAGGAAUAGCAGAGGAGAUUCAGGAACUCAAGAGCCUCGUCAGCGAGCAGAGCGAGAGGGGGAAACGCUACUACGACAUCAAUCAGUGUCUCGCUGCCUCAGCACAGCCGGUGCUCUUGGAUCCUCGAGCACCUGCACUCUUUCAGGAGGCCAUGGAUCUCGUGGGAGUUGAUGCUCCUCGUGAGGAGAUAAUCCAGUUAUUGAAAUGUGAAGAGCAGCAGCACAAGGUGGUGUCCAUCUAUGGGAUCGGUGGACAGGGGAAGACCACUCUCGCCAUGGAGGUGUACCACAAAAUCACUGAAGUAUUUGAUUGCCGGGCUUUUGUUUCUGUAUCACAAACUCCAGAUAUGAAGACGCUUCUUAGAGAUAUUUUGUCUCAAAUAAGCAAGAGUAAUUUUGACUCAUCGGAAAGGAUGGAAACAGAUCAGCAGCUCAUACGCACAGUGAGACAACGCUUGAUGGACAAGAGGUACUUCAUCUUGAUUGAUGAUAUCUGGAGUGUAUCAGCAUGGGAGCUUCUGCGGUCUGCCUUACCUCUCAAUAACAAUGGAAGCAGAAUUAUUACUACAACACGCGUUAAAGCAGUAGCUAACUCAUGUUGUACUGGUAUUGCGGCACAAAUGUAUGAAGCAAAACCACUCAAUGAUGAUGACUCUCAAAGGUUAUUCUUUAAAAGACUAUUUUUCUCCAGUGAUGAUUGUCACCCAGAUUUGAGGAAAGUAUGCAGCGACAUUUUGAAGAAAUGUUCUGGCUUACCAUUAGCCAUAAUCAGUAUCGCUGGUUUAUUAGCAAACAGAAGCAAGACAUUGGAAGUCUGGAACAAUGUAUUGAGGUCCAUUUCUGCUGCAGUUGACAAAGAUUCUCCCAUUGAUAAAAUGAAAAGAAUUUUGCUGCUUAGCUACUUUGACCUUCCUCACCAUCUAAAGAGCUGUUUGCUAUACCUGAGUGUGUUUCCAGAGGAUUUUUCCAUUGAUUGCCGAGAAUUGAUAUUGCUAUGGGUAGCCGAAGGACUGAUUCCUGGACAGGACAGAGAAAGUAUGGAGCAGCUAGGGAGAAGUUACUUGAAUGAGCUGAUCAAUAGAAGCUUGGUCCAGCCAACCAAGGUUGGGGUAGAUGGGACAAACGUGAAACAGUGCAGAGUUCAUGAUGUCAUACUUGAAUUCAUUGUGUCAAAGGCUGUUGAGGACAACUUUGUUACUAUAUGGAAUGGUGAUGGUUUUUCUAGAAAUAUUUAUUCUUCAAACAAGAUUCGUCGAUUAUCCAUCCGGAAUGUCAAUUCUGCCCAGGCGGCGAAAGAGAUUGCCAGGACAAUAAAAAAUGGAGCUCAUAUUAGAUCAAUUAAUGUCUAUCAAUCUGAUUCAUACCUGCUCAGAAAGCAUGCCUCUGAGUUUUUAAACAGCCAAGUCUUGCGAGUGUUGGCCAUAGGAGGUAUAUUUAGUGAAUGCAAUCUUGGACAUGUCAAAAGUUUUGGUCAAUUGAAGUACUUGGGGGCAGGCCUUCAGCUUACAGAAGAUGCACAAAAGCUGCAACAUCUAGAGACACUAGAUUUGAGUUGGGCCAAUCUUGAAAGCAUACCAACAUGUAUUACCCAGUUGCAUAAGUUGGUGCGUCUUUUAGUCCGGUCGUCUGUGCAUCUACCUGAUGAAAUCAGAAAUCUGCAGGCGUUGGAAGAGCUAUCAAGGGUCAAUUUGGGUAUUCAAUCUAUAAAGUUUAUCCAAGGACUCGGUGAUCUAACUAAUCUGAAAGUACUUGAAAUUGAGUGGCUAUGCUCUAUUGAAUUACGUGAUAUGAAGGAUCACAAGGAAGCAUGUAUCUCAACCGUCUCUAGGUUAUUUAGUCACCUGCGAGAACUACGCGUGCUGGAGAGUGAUCCUGAUGCCACAUGUUUAUUCAACAAGGCUUCGUAUGUCCCUGCUCCACCACCACUUCAAAAGCUUGUUCUUUAUACACAUAUCUUUAAUAGGGUGUGCCCUCAGAUUAGCUCACUAGUCAACCUGUCUCGCCUCCACAUUAAAGGAAUAAAUAUCCAUGGUGAUGUAGGCAAGGAAGGAAUAAAUAUGAUAGCGAGUUUACCUGUGCUUCUCUCUCUUACUUUUGGCUUUUUAUCCAAUGACGAAGAGGGAGAUUCAAGCAUCCCCUACCCAAGGCAUGCAAUCAGCAGACAAGGAUUUCAGCGUUUGGUCAAGUUUAAUUUGUGCUGUGGGUGCGAGGCGUUGGAGUUUGAGCCAGGAGCCAUGCCAAAGCUCCAAAUGCUCAAGCUGCGACUGAUGGCACGGUGCCAGUUCAAGUUUGGGGAAGGUGGCCUCCUCGUUGGGCUGCAGAAUCUGGGACUAGGCCUCAAACAUGUGGCUGUCGAUGUUAACUGCCACGGAGCUGUUGCUGACGAGGUGGAGGCUUUGGAGGAUGGCAUCAGGGGUGCAGCAGCCGUCCAUCCCAAUUGUCCCAUACUCCAGGUCGAAAGACGGAAUCAAAUUGGCAUGGCUCAAGGAUGCAGCAGGCGUCCAUCCGACCAUGCAGAAGCCUAAUGAAGACCAUUGUGAGUAUAAAUAUGACUAGCAAUUAUCAUUUGUUUUCCCAUUUUUACGUAGGGACUAUGGAAUAUAUAUAUGAUUGAACAAGGCAAUUUGAUAACUAUCAGUCUGUCUCUGUCAGGGAGCUUAAACUGGUUGUUCCAAUUGCUAUAUGGCUUUUAGUUCUGGCAUUGCCUAGAUACGUCUGCUUGCGUAGUUUUGUCUAGACACGUGUGCAGGGGCUGCUGGCCGGCCGGUGCGAGGAGCCGCUCCACAAGGCGAUCCUGCGCAUGAUCAGGCAGUUGUGGUGGAUGACGCGCAUGGAGAACUUCAUCCGCCUGCUCUCACCCAUGCUCGAUGCGCCAGUGGUCCAUGGUGUCAUCUCUAGGGCAGCAUCUACGGGACGUGCUGACCUUGCCCUCUAGUUCUUCCAUUUUGAACGCAGGCUGCUGCAUGUGAGCGCCGCCGCUCUACACGCACAUGCCGCCAUGCGUGAGCACUCGUCCGCCAUGGGCCGGCUUGUUUUGAAUUCUGAUGGAGGAGGCAACAACUUAACCUCUGUAUUUAUUUGUGUAUGUAUACCUGACUGAAUGUGGGUCCAUGUACGUGAGAUAUAUAUGUAGAAAAUGGCAUAGGUGAGGAGAGAUGAAUGGUAAUGACAAUUCUCCGAAUAGACAAAUUGUAAUAGCGUUUCUCCAAACUUUAGAAAUUGUAAUAGCAUGGUUCCAAAAAGGCCCAAUUGCUUUUGUAUGCUUCUUUCUUGGUAGAUACCUGAUUACAAAAGUCAAGGAAUUAAAAGUGUUUGUUGGCAUA